AGAUUAAACUGAAGAGUUUGAUCCUGGCUCAGAUUGAACGCUGGCGGCAUGCCUUACACAUGCAAGUCGAACGGCAGCGCGGGGCAACCUGGCGGCGAGUGGCGA
rnacentral:rRNA from 1 species